AUUGAACGCUGGCGGCAGGCUUAACACAUGCAAGUCGGACGAGUGGCGGACGGGUGAGUAACACAUGGGAACGUAGCGAAUGAUGGGGGAUAACUAAGGGAAAGAGUAGCUAAUACCGCAUACUAUACGAGGGGCCGAUGUUGGAUUAGGUGGUUGGUGGGGUAAAGGCCUACCAAGGCGACGAUCUGUAGCGGGUCUGAGAGGAUGACCCGCCACCCUGUGACUGAGACCCGGCCCAGACUCCUACGGGAGGCAGCAGUGGGGAAUUUUGCACAAUGGGCGCAACCCUGAUACAGCCAUGCCGCGUGACUGAAGAAGGCCUUCGGGUUGUAAAGUUCUUUUGGCAGCGAAGCGUUACCUGCAGAAUAAGCACCGGCUAACUCCGUGCCAGCCGCCGCGGUAAUAC
rnacentral:rRNA from 1 species